rnacentral:rRNA from 1 species
AUCUCCUUGAGUGUAUUUUAAAAUUGUUGCUGUUAAAAAGUUCGUAGUCGGGGGUAAUCGGUGGAAAAGGUUUUAGGAUAUUAAAAAGUUGUAAAAGAUUUUUUAAAAUUUUGAAAUCCAACGAUUUAUAGAAGUGGGAGGUGGUUCAUAUCACCUCCUCUUUACUCUAAGCAAAAAUUAAUGAUCAAAAUAAUGAUUUAAUUUAUAUAUCAAUUGUGAUUUUCAGUAGAGGAUAAUAGAAAAUGUUGGAGUUUUUUACGUUUGUUGAGGAGUUCCAAAAUGACCAAUAGAAAUUGAAGGGAUAAGAGGUAUUUUAAAGUGAAAGGUGAAAUUUUACGAUCUUUAAAGGACCAACUUAAGCGAAGGCAUCUUAUUAUUAUAUUUUCAUUGAUCAAGAACG